rnacentral:telomerase_RNA from 8 species
GGGUUGCGGAGGGUGGGCCCCGGGUUGGUGGCAGCCAUUUCUCAUCUAACCCUAAUUGAGACAGGCGUAGGCGCUGUGCUUUUGGUUACCGCGCGCUGUUUUUCUCGCUGACUUUCAGCGGGCGGAAAAGCCUCGGCCUACCGCCAUCCACCAUCCAGUCUGCAACAAACAAAAAAUGUCAGCCGCUGGCUCGCUCACCUCUCCCGGGAACCUGCGGUGGUCCGCCCGCCCAGCCCCAGUGCCCCGCCUGAGGCCGCGGUCGGCCCGGUGCUUCUCCGGAGGUGUCCAUUGCCGCCGUGAAGAGUUGGGCUCUGUCAGCCGCGGGUCGCUCGGUGGGCCGAGGCAUGGCUGUAACCGCAGGGAAAGGAACGGAGUGGGGUCCCCGCGCGCGGUGCGCUUCCCUGAGCUGUGGGACUUGCACCCGGGACUCGGCUCAGACAUCC